rnacentral:rRNA from 1 species
AUUGAACGCUGGCGGCAGGCCUAACACAUGCAAGUCGAGCGAGCGGCGGACGGGUGAGUAAUGUAUGGGGACUGCCCGUUAGAGGGGGAUAACUACUGGAAACGGUAGCUAAUACCGCAUACUAUCGGAUAACCCAUAUGGGAUUAGCUAGUAGGUGAGGUAAUGGGCCACCUAGGCGACGAUCCCUAGCUGGUCUGAGAGGAUGAUCAGCCACACUGGGACUGAGACACGGCCCAGACUCCGACGGAGGCAGCAGGGGGGAAUAUUGCACAAUGGGCGAAAGCCUGAUGGAGCCAUGCCGCGGGUAUGAAGAAGGCCCUAGGGUUGUAAAGGACGUUCAGUAGGGAGGCGUUACCGACAGAAGAAGCAACGGCUAACUCCGUGCCAGCAGCCGCGGUAAUAC